rnacentral:rRNA from 1 species
AUUGAACGCUGGCGGCAGGCCUAACACAUGCAAGUCGAGCGGGGUUUUCGGACCUAGCGGCGGACGGGUGAGUAAUGCGUAGGAAGCUACCCGAUAGAGGGGGAUACCAGUUGGAAACGACUGUUAAUACCGCGUAAUGUCUACGGACCAAAGUGUGGGACCUUCGGGCCACAUGCUAUCGGAUGUGCCUACGUGGGAUUAGCUAGUUGGUGAGGUAAUGGCUCACCAAGGCGACGAUCCCUAGCUGGUUUGAGAGGAUGAUCAGCCACACUGGAACUGGGACACGGUCCAGACUCCUACGGGAGGCAGCAGUGGGGAAUAUUGGACAAUGGGCGCAAGCCUGAUCCAGCCAUGCCGCGUGUGUGAAGAAGGCCUUCGGGUUGUAAAGCACUUUCAGUAAGGAGGAAGCGUUGAGUGUUAAUAGUACACAGCGUUGACGUUACCUACAGAAGAAGCACCGGCUAACUCUGUGCCAGCCGCCGCCGUAACAC